rnacentral:piRNA from 1 species
UUUUGAUGGGAACAAUAUUGA